UACUUUAAUGUACACAUGAUACACCUUUUUGAAAACCUCUAAAAAAGCGGAUUUUGGUGGUGGAUUUUAUUUAUAUAAUUUAUUAUUCGGACACAAAUCAUGCAAAACUUCAAUUUAUUAUUCGGGAACAAAUAAUACAAAACUUCAAUAUCUGACAACUGAGCCCCUGUGUUCUUGCCGGUCUCCUCCGUGGCCGAGUGGUUAGAGCAUUGCGCUCAAAAUCACACGGCCUCUCAUCUCUGUCGGCGCGAGUUCGAAUCCCAUUCGCGCCGGUAAGUGAGAAAGUUUUCCCAGUUUACUUUCGAAAGAUCGGUGGUCUCUCCCCAGGUAUCUGGGUUCUCUCUUCCACCAAUAAAAAAAACUGGGUGCCACCAGAUAACUGAAAAAUUGUUGAGUUUGGCAGAAAACAUCAAUCAAUCAAUCCCCUUCUUGCCUAGAUUUUCUCUAAUUUCGACUAAAUCCACAGCCCAUCAGAGUACCAUGCAAGGGGAUUUAGACACUGGGUACCAUUAAGAAGCAAUUCAAUUGAACUUUUAUAUCUGGGGUCAUUCACUUUCCCUCAGAGUUUCAGUAUUUUCGCUGGACCCUGUAGGUUUUAACCUGAAUUUCUUCAGUAUUUGCCCUCGUGUAUAAUAUAUGCUAGGCAUAAUGCAGAUACUUACAUGAUACAUUUUUUUUUCAUUACCCACUCUGCUACUCUCGCAAUGUAUAAUAAAAUAUUCGAUUCAUUUCUAACACAUGUAUGCAAUCCCUUACCAUAUCUUUAAAUAAAUUUGAGUAAAUAAAUUUAAGUGCGAAACUGUUCCAUGCUACCGUGAAACUUAGAUUUUGCUUUUUAAACAUAAACCAACAAUUCUUAAUUGUGAUUUCUUUUCUUCUUUAAAAAGGGUAUUGACAUCGCAAUAUUUAGUGGGAAGUUCCCAGGUAUCAUCCGCUAGCGACAGUCUACUGACAAAUCCAGACAUGCAUUGGAAGGAUGCUGAUGUGGAGGACACAGGAACACCUGAUCCCAGAACUGUGGCAUUUCAUUCGGGGUGACAACCUGGCUUUCAGUUGGUAUGACUCUUUGAGGUUGAAUAUAGGGUUAAAUCAGUGUAAAUUUGAUUAACAUUCAAAUAAAUCCAGAUAAUACAUUCACAAUUGGAAUCAUGGCAUUAUGGUACACUGAUAUGUGUGUACCAUUUUACUGUUCCUUUUUUGGUGGGUUUUUUUUUUUUUUUUUUUUUGCUGCAUAACUAGGGAUCGUAUACAUACAAAAUGAGACAAAACAAUUUCUAAUUAGUUUCUAAUUAUAAGGUAUGACACGUUUUAAGGUAUGGUGGCCAAUACUGAUUUUAUUUGCAAUUUUCUUUCAGAUAUGGAACCCUAUUAUUCGGAGAACUGCAGAUUUUAUGAAGCUGUCUUUGACAGAAGAUUUGGUUUUCUCCAUCUGUGUUGCCACCAACCAUUAUGCUGAGAUGGUCAUAUCUAGGGGGAAGGGUUGCCAUAUACUUCCCAAGGAAGUUUUCAGCCUCUCACUGAAGAGGAACUGUACAGAUUUUUGUGCAUUAUCUUAUACACGCCUGCUGUGAAGUUCCAGUCGAUAGACAGAUAUUGGUCAACGCAUGCCCCUGUCGGAACAACUCGUUAUCAAGAAUUAUGUCUAGAAAUAGGUUUCAAGAGGUUGAAUAUAAGAACAUUUUUGUUAAAUAUGAUGCAAGUACAUUUAAAUCUAGUGAUUGAAAGUAAGUACUUGAACAUUCGCUUAUGUUGAACUUGGAGAGGAAAAAUGGUUAGUACUUUUUGAUAACAUUUGAUAAGGUGUUUUUGCUUAGCAACCAAAUAUAACUGAAUAAAAAAUAGAUUAUUUUAGAUUAACAAUAAUUGAAAGAUUUUUGUUUUAAUGUUGCAAUACUUAUUCUAUUUAAUGGAACAUAAUGGCAAAACGUCAUAUUAUUAGAAAAUGAUGGACAAGUAUAUAAAGUACGAAGUUUCCAUUUGAUGAUCUUUGACCUUAAUUCUCUUCAUUACAUUUUUUGUUAAAAACCUUUUAAAAUGAUUAAGAUCUAUUUAAAGAUUAUAUUUUUAAAAUAAUGUGACAUUUACUAAUCAUCAUGGAUUGUAAUUACGUUUAAAUUGUGUUGAAUGGAUGCAGAAAGGCAAAUUAUGGUCAAAAUUGUACUAUGAGUGUUGUUACUUAGCAACCAAAAAUAUUUGUUUGUCAAUAAAAUUGAUUAGUUUGA